rnacentral:rRNA from 1 species
AUGGAUGGGCUGGCCCAGAUCUUGGGGGAUUGGUUGAGAAGUGAGGGAUAUGCCCCGGCCGUGGAGCCCAGCUCAACAGACUACUGUUUGCGGCACAUGCCUGCAGCGACCCUCAAUUCUCCAUCGCGCGGCUGGACCACAACAAACCUGCAAUGUUCCUUUCAGAAAAUCAAUAUGAACGACCCUCACAAGAUUUGGGGGAAUGCCAAUAUACCAUACCAUGGCCUUCUUCCUCCUCCAGCAUCCUCCGCUGUUACUGUGGAGCAAGAAACAGAGGAGGACCAACAAUGGUGCUGGCUCAAGAACGGACACUGA